UUACGGCUCAGUAACACGUGGCCAACCUACCCUUGGGACGGGGACAACCCCGGGAAACUGGGGUCAAUCCCCGAUGAGUGAGGAAGCCUGGAAUGGUUCCUCGCCUAAAGGAUGUUGAAACCAUGCUUUUCGGCGUCGCCUAAGGAUGGGGCCGCGGCCGAUCAGGUUGUUGGUGGGGUAACGGCUCACCAAGCCUAUAACCGGUACGGGCCGUGAGAGCGGUAGCCCGGAGAUGGGCACUUAGACAAGGGCCCAGGCCCUACGGGGCGCAGCAGGCGCGAAAACUCCGCAAUGCGCGAAAGCGUGACGGGGCUAUCCCGAGUGCCGUCCGCUGAGGAUGGCUUUUCCACGGUGUAAGGAGCCGUGGGAAUAAGGAGAGGGCAAGCCUGGUGUCAGCCGCCGCGGUAAAACCAGCUCUCCGAGUGGUAGGGAUGAUUAAUGGGCUUAAAGCGUCCGUAGCCGGUUCAAUAAGUCUCUCGUUAAAUCCAGCGACCUAAUCGUUGGACUGCGGGAGAUACUGUUGGACUAGGAGGCGGGAGAGGCUGACGGUAUUCUUGGGGUAGGGGUGAAAUCCUAUAAUCCCGGGAGGACCACCAGUGGCGAAGGCGGUCGGCUAGAACGCGCUCGACGGUGAUGGACGAAAGCUGGGGGAGCGAACCGGAUUAGAUACCCGGGUAGUCCCAGCAGUAAACGAUGCGGGCUAGGUGUUGAGGCGGUUACGAACCGCUUCAGUGCCGCAGCGAAGGCAUUAAGCCCGCCGCCUGGGGAGUACGGCCGCAAGGCUGAAACUUAAAGGAAUUGGCGGGGGAGCACCACAAGGGGUGAAGCUUGCGGUUUAAUUGGAUUCAACGCCGGG
rnacentral:rRNA from 1 species